GGGCGAAUGGUCUAGAGGUAUGAUAUUCGCUUUGCAUUCUGGCUUGCUUAGAAAAAAUGCCUGCGAAGGGUCCGGGGUUCAAUUCCCCGUUCGUCCA